AACGUAGGAGACAAGCGUUAUCCGGAGUUACUGGGCGUAAAGGGCGUGCAGGCGGUGGGGUAAGUGAGAUGUGAAAUCGCUCGGCUUAACCGGGCGCGGUCAUCUCAGACUGCCGCGCUAGAGGACGAUAGAGGCGUGUGGAAUUCCGGGUGUAGUGGUGAAAUGCGUAGAGAUCCGGAGGAACACCAGUGGCGAAGGCGGCACGCUGGGUCGUACCUGACGCUGAGACGCGACAGCAUGGGGAGCAAACGGG
rnacentral:rRNA from 1 species